UACGUAGGGUGCGAGCGUUAAUCGGAAUUACUGGGCGUAAAGCGUGCGCAGGCGGUUGUGCAAGACAGAUGUGAAAUCCCCGGGCUUAACCUGGGAACUGCAUUUGUGACUGCACGGCUGGAGUGCGGCAGAGGGGGAUGGAAUUCCGCGUGUAGCAGUGAAAUGCGUAGAUAUCAGGAGGAAUACCGAUGGCGAAGGCAGGUCUCUGGGCUGACACUGACGCUCAUGCACGAAAGCGUGGGGAGCAAACAGG
rnacentral:rRNA from 1 species